rnacentral:rRNA from 1 species
GAUGAACGCUGGCGGCGUGCCUAAUACAUGCAAGUCGAGCGAACAGACGAGGAGCUUGCUCCUCUGACGUUAGCGGCGGACGGGUGAGUAACACGUGGAUAACCUACCUAUAAUACUGGGAUAACUGCGGGAAACCGGAGCUAAUACCGGAUAAUAUAUUGAACCGCAGGGUGCAGUAGUGAAAGACGGUUUUGCUGUCACUUAUAGAUGGAUCCGCGCCGUAUUAGGUAGUUGGUAAGGUAACGGCUUACCAAGGCGACGAUGCGUAGCCGAGCUGAGAGGGGGAUCGGCCACACGAGAGCGGACACACGGUCCAGACUCCUACGGGAGGCCGCAGUAGGGAAUCUUGCGCAAUGGGCGAAAGCCUGACGGAGCAACGCCGCGUGAUUGAUGAAGGUCUUCGGAUCGUAGAACUCUGUUAUGAGGGAAGAACAAAUGUGUAAGUAACUAUGCACGUCUUGACGGUACCUAAUCAGAAAGCCCCGGCUAACUACGUG